rnacentral:rRNA from 1 species
UACAGAGGUCUCAAGCGUUGUUCGGAUUCAUUGGGCGUAAAGGGCGCGUAGGCGGCAAGGCAAGUCGGGUGUGAAAGCUUGGGGCUUAACCCCGAAAGGGCACUCGAAACUGCCCUGCUAGAGGGCCGGAGAGGAGAUCGGAAUUCACGGUGUAGCAGUGAAAUGCGUAGGGCUCGUGAGGAAGACCGGUGGCGAAGGCGGAUCUCUGGACGGCCCCUGACGCUGAGGCGCGAAGGCUAGGGGAGCAAACGGG